rnacentral:tRNA from 1 species
GGGGGUAUAGCUUAGAGCACCCGCAUACGUAUCGGAAGGUCGGGGGUUCGACUCCCUCUGCCUCCA